rnacentral:tRNA from 1 species
GCCUGGGUGGCUCAGUUGGUUGAGCGUCCGACUUCGGCUCAGGUCACGAUCUCGCGGUCCGUGAGUUCGAGCCCCGCUUUGGGCU